rnacentral:rRNA from 1 species
CAAUUGAAGAGUUUGAUCCUGGCUCAGCCUGAACGCUGGCGGCGUGGCUAAGACAUGCAAGUCGCACGGGCGUAGCAAUACGUCAGUGGCGGACGGGUGAGUAAUGUAUCGCUAAUGUACCCUUCACGCUGGGAUAGCUGCGGGAAACUGCAGGUAAUACCAGAUGAUAUAACCGAAUCGCAUGGUUUGGUUCUCAAAGGAGUAAUCCGGUGAGGGAGCAGGCGAUAUCGUAUCAGCUAGUUGGUGAGGUAACGGCUCACCAAGGCGACGACGCGUAGCUGGUCUGAGAGGACGACCAGCCACAUUGGGACUGAGACACUGCCCAGACUCCUACGGGGGCUGCAGUAACGAAUCUUCCGCAAUGCACGAAAGUGUGACGGAGCGACGCCGCGUGGAGGUUAAGUCCUUCGGGAUGUAAACUCCUGUCAGGGGUUACCAAGAUCUGAGGAGCCCCAGAGGAAGGCACGGCUAACUCUGUGCCAGCAGCCGCGGUAAUACAGAGGUGCCAAGCGUUAGGCGGAAUCACUGGGCUUAAAGCGCGUGUAGGUGGAUGGGUAAGUACCUUGUGAAAUCCCACGGCUCAACCGUGGAACUGCUGGGUAUACUGCCUGUCUUGAGGCACUCAGGGGCAGCUGGAACAAAUGGUGGAGCGGUGAAAUGCGUAGAUAUCAUUUGGAACGCCAAAGGCGAAAGCAGGCUGCUGGGAGUGAUCUGACACUGAGACGCGAAAGCCAGGGGAGCAAACGGGAUUAGAUACCCCGGUAGUCCUGGCCCUAAACGAUGUCCACUAGAUGGUGGCGGCUCUGACGCCGUCAUGGUCGAAGCAAAAGUGUUAAGUGGACCGCCUGGGAAGUACGGUCGCAAGGCUAAAACUCAAAGGAAUUGACGGGGGCUCACACAAGCGGUGGAGCAUGUGGUUUAAUUCGAAGCAACGCGCGGAACCUUACCUGGGCUUGACAUGCCUGGAUUAUCCCCAUGAAAGUGGGGUACAGCCCGCAAGGGCCGGAACAGGUACAGGUGCUGCAUGGCUGUCGUCAGCUCGUGUCGUGAGAUGUCGGGUUAAGUCCCUUAACGAGCGAAACCUUUGCCCUUAGUUACUAACGGGUUAUGCCGAGGACUCUAAGGGGACUGCCGGUGUCAAACCGGAGGAAGGUGGAGAUGACGUCAAGUCCUCAUGGCCUUUAUGCCCAGGGCCACACACGUGCUACAAUGGGAUGCACAGAGCGAACCGAGACCGCGAGGUGGAGGAAAUCGCACAAAUCAUCCCUCAGUUCAGAUUGGAGGCUGCAACUCGCCUCCAUGAAGCUGGAAUCGCUAGUAAUCGCGUAUCAGCUACGACGCGGUGAAUAUGUUCCUGAGCCUUGUACACACCGCCCGUCAAGUCAUGGGAGCCGGAAAUAGCCGAAGUGGCCACAUCACAGUGGUCCCUACGCUAGGUUCGGUGACUGGGACUAAGUCGUAACAAGGUAGCCGUAGGGGAACCUGCGGCUGGAUCACCUCCUUU